AACGAACGCUGGCGGCAGGCUUAACACAUGCAAGUCGAACGCGUGUAGCAAUACACGAGUGGCGCACGGGUGAGUAACGCGUGGAUAUCUGCCUUUUGGUUCGGAAUAACUCCGGGAAACUGGGGCUAAUACCGGAUGGUUCCUUCGGGAUAAAGAUUUAUCGCCAAAAGAUGAGUCCGCGUACGAUUAGCUAGUUGGUGAGGUAAUGGCUCACCAAGGCGACGAUCGUUAGCUGGUCUGAGAGGACGAUCAGCCACACUGGGGCUGAGACACGGCCCAGACUCCUACGGGAGGCAGCAGUGGGGAAUAUUGGACAAUGGGGGCAACCCUGAUCCAGCCAUGCCGCGUGAGUGAUGAAGGCCUUCAGGUUGUAAAGCUCUUUUGGCGGGGACGAUGAUGACGGUACCCGCAGAAUAAGCCCCGGCUAACUUCGUGCCAGCCGCCGCAGUAAAAC
rnacentral:rRNA from 1 species